GUGAAUCAUCGAAUUUUUGAACGCAAAUUGCACUCUCUUCGGAGAGUAUGCCUGUUUGAGGGUCAGCCUAAAAAAAAAAUCGACAUAGUCGCUGUUUCGCGGUGUCAUUCGUCGGAUAUUGGGUCAUCUUAAACCUUUUGGUUUUAAGCGGCUUAAAAUUUUCUUUACGUUUCCACGAACGAAUCUAAAAUUUACUUCCUACACCUUUUAGGAAAUAGAUCUUUAUUG
rnacentral:misc_RNA from 1 species